rnacentral:tRNA from 1 species
AAGGGAGACCUAAUUCGGGUAUAAGACGAAAAAAGAGUAGUCGAAACCAAGAAUCAAUCCCAAAAGGUCGGAACGAGGUAUGUGGCUUUCAAACUAGGUUCUGGGUUCACACAAGACCUGAAUCAGGAACAAGGGCUAUUAGCUCAGGUGGUUAGAGCGCACCCCUGAUAAGGGUGAGGUCCCUGGUUCGAGUCCAGGAUGGCCCACCUGUACAGGUGGCCAAAACCAAGAAAAGAAGCGAGGAAUCAGCACCUGCUCUUACCUACAUAGUAAGAGAGAAUGCUGGCUCUGAGUACAGAGUCCAGAGGAACCUUGAAAACUGCAUAGAGCUAGGCGAAAAAGCCAAAAAAGAAGACCGCAA